rnacentral:rRNA from 1 species
UACGGAGGGGGGCUAGCGUUGUUCGGAAUUACUGGGCGUAAAGCGUACGUAGGCGGUUAUUCAAGUCAGAGGUGAAAGCCCGGGGCUCAACCCCGGAACUGCCUUUGAAACUAGAUAGCUAGAAUCUUGGAGAGGUCAGUGGAAUUCCGAGUGUAGAGGUGAAAUUCGUAGAUAUUCGGAAGAACACCAGUGGCGAAGGCGACUGACUGGACAAGUAUUGACGCUGAGGUACGAAAGCGUGGGGAGCAAACAGG